rnacentral:rRNA from 1 species
ACAAUGAAGAGUUUGAUCCUGGCUCAGGAUGAACGCUAGCUACAGGCUUAACACAUGCAAGUCGAGGGGCAUCGGGAAGAAAGCUUGCUUUCUUUGCCGGCGACCGGCGCACGGGUGAGUAACACGUAUCCAACCUGCCCUUUACUCGGGGAUAGCCUUUCGAAAGAAAGAUUAAUACCCGAUAGCAUAAUGAUUCCGCAUGGUUUCAUUAUUAAAGGAUUCCGGUAAAGGAUGGGGAUGCGUUCCAUUAGGUUGUUGGUGGGGUAACGGCCCACCAAGCCUUCGAUGGAUAGGGGUUCUGAGAGGAAGGUCCCCCACAUUGGAACUGAGACACGGUCCAAACUCCUACGGGAGGCAGCAGUGAGGAAUAUUGGUCAAUGGGCGGUAGCCUGAACCAGCCAAGUAGCGUGAAGGAUGAAGGCUCUAUGGGUCGUAAACUUCUUUUAUAUAAGAAUAAAGUGCAGUAUGUAUACUGUUUUGUAUGUAUU